rnacentral:rRNA from 1 species
AUACGGAGGGUGCAAGCGUUAUCCGGAAUCAUUGGGUUUAAAGGGUCCGUAGGCGGGCUAAUAAGUCAGGGGUGAAAUCUUGCAGCUUAACUGUGGAACUGCCCUUGAUACUGUUGGUCUUGAGUUACAGUGAAGUGGUUAGAAUGUGUAGUGUAGCGGUGAAAUGCAUAGAGAUUACACAGAAUACCGAUUGCGAAGGCAGAUCACUAACUGUAUACUGACGCUAAUGGACGAAAGCGUGGGGAGCGAACAGGAUUAGAAACCCCGGUAGUCC